UUAUAAUGGGUUAAUCUUUAUUUUCUAUGUCAGAUAUUUGUUUGAUAUUUGUUUGAUCUUUAAAUUUACAGUUAGUAAUAAUGCAAGUAAUUUUAAGUGUUUUUGACUACAUACAAUAAUUUAUCUUUUAAUAUUUUCUAUUCUUCCACCAGAGAAGUUGGCUGCACAGAUUGAUCCAGAGACUGGAUCACUAUUCUUUAUCAGUAGGAAUCAUCUGUGGGAAGGAGCGAAACGUGGCUUUCAAAGGAAAUCUUGUUUGAUUUGGAUCUGGGAGGAACGGGGAGAGAGUUUCUAACAAUGCUCAUGGAGAACUUGCACCAAUCAGCGAUGGGUUCAGAUGACUAUUUUUAUGUUAGGGUGGCCAUUGCAUCACUGGAGGACCUGGCCCACACUUCUUGUCAUCAGGAGUUUUCCAGGCCCUUUCAAGUCCACAUGUGUGACAGUCCAAGAGAUCCCUGACAUGGACAUCAGGAACAAUCUGGAGAAGAUUAAAGGAGGCGCUGAAGACACUAGGGAUACUGAAUGCUAUGACCAAGUAUCCCAAUGCAUUCAAGUUGGUCAUGUGAUACACAGAAGCCACCCUUGCAGCCCAGACCCUUGAUGAUAUCUUCCACCCCAUUCUACACCCAUUGUGCUCCAAUAAACGGCUAACAGAAAAUAUCGUGCUGUCUCACUGGAAAGACUUUUUUCAAGAACUCGAAGGUGUGACAAAUAGCCUAAAGUGGUGACGUCAGAUGCAGGGAAAUAACACAGACUGGACGGAGUGGUAUGGGGAUUGCGCUGCUGCACAGUCUAAUGACAGACAGUAAAUAAAAAGGUUGAAACAGACACAAAAACAGGACACGGCACUGAUGCCAAAAUAAACUGAUAAACAAAACAAGACACAAGACUAAACACUAACAAGUAUCGUGGUGGCCCUCCAGCACGAUAGCAAUUGCUUAUUUUUAAAUUCAAUAUAUAUCUAUCUCUACUCCACCUCUCUCUCCAGUACCUCCUCGCUGUACACCUAACCCCCUAGUGCGUGAAAAGGUGCGCUUUUUAUACAUCUGUACCGAGACUCAAUUGCUAAUCAAUCAUUCAAUUGGAGUCUCGGUACAUCUGCACGUGAAUUAAUUAUGUGUACUCCCGUGACCACACAUUACAUUUUAACCAGCGCGUGAAGUGAUUUGUGCCAUCCUCGUGCCUAAAUACAAAUCUACGUGUACCAAUGCCUAUACACCAACAUUAACACAGCACACGUAACAUAAAACAGACACAGGGUUGGGCACACUGCCACACGAGGACCAUCAGAUGUCACAUUGAUGUCACUGCUGUUCUUCAUUACUGGCUGCAAAAGAAUGACUCCAUUUGGGUUCAGACCAGAACCGACUAUUGAUUUUCUACGAGAUGCAGAGGAAGAUGGCAAAAAAAUUGACAUUUCCAAAAGCAAAUACAUGCACCUGUACAGUGUGCUUGCAAACAACACGCAAAACCUUUGAGGACUUCAGUGCAUCAGUGAGAUGCUGUUCUAACUGCCAGGGCUUUGGUUUUGUAUAGGCAUGUAAAGACUUCAGAAAUUAUAGAUUCAUGUUUGACAGUAAGGUACACUGCGCUUUUUACAUUUUGAGUAAAGAUAAAAAGCUACACUAUAGAUAUGCAUACUUUUUGUAAUUGUUUAAUAAUCAUAAUACAAAAUUGAAUGUAUAUGAUUGUGAUGGGGUGCAGCCUAUUUUGUGGUGGUUUUGUGUUUUUUGUAUUGUUUAGAGUGAGUUUGGGGUGUGGUUCAGUGAGUGAGUUUGUGUGAGGAAUGUGUGGAAUGUGCCUGGGCUAAUGAGGUGCAAAUUGCCCAAUUAGCCCAGGCACCUAUAAAAGGGAGUGGUUGGGUAUGUUAGUUGAUGAGUGUUUGUGAGAGUGAGAAGACCUGUGUGAGAGAGUGAGUGGUUCUUUUUUUGGUAUAGUUUGUUUAAAGCCUGUUUUUGUGUUUGUCUUUUUGGUUGGCCAUCGUGCCUUUUGUUUUGUGUAUUUUGUUUAAUUAAAAGUCUUUUAUUUUCCCUGCACAUCCUGACUCUGAGUCUCCU